CGUGAAGAUGCCUCCAAGUUUUUCAGGACCUGUAAUUCAGCAGAUGGUCCAGACCUCACUGACACUCCGGUGGCUCUCCUGACAGUUGUCACUGAUGAUACUACUGAUGCGGCCCUCUUCAGCCCUGAGAGCAUCUGUGUUGUCGUGGAAGAUGAAAUACUUGUGAGUGGUCCCACAAACCUGGCUGACUCAUUUAUCCUGCUCUUUGGGUAUGUCUAUGCACUAGACCUACAGUACCCAAAGAAUCUCGAGCUUACAUUCACAUUUAUCCAAAAAGUUGUGAUGUGUCUUGAGGACAACAAACCACUGAAAGGGCGUCUACUGACACUGAAGAAUGAUUUGUUCAAUGAGUGAAUCACUCAGAAUGGACUAUUUGUUGAACUGAGUAUUGAGGAUGUUUUUUGUUUUUUUCCCCUCUUUACAAAUGUAAUAAUUUGCCUCUUCUACCUCAUGUUUAAUAUGUUACACUGUUUGCCUCUUCUACCUCAGAUUUAAUACAUUGAUUGUUAAUAGAUAAAUAU